GGGAGAGAUGAUGAUGAGUGAUUAGUUUCCCUAUUGGUUUGAUAGCCGACAUGAUGGCUACCAUUGUAUUAGCUCUAUCUGAUCCCUC
rfam:Musa acuminata subsp. malaccensis Doubled-haploid Pahang (DH-Pahang) genomic chromosome, chr5